AGAGUUUGAUCCUGGCUCAGAAUGAACGCUGGCGGCAGGCCUAACACAUGCAAGUCGAACGGUAACAGAAAGAAGCUUGCUUCUUUGCUGACGAGUGGCGGACGGGUGAGUAACGCGUGGGAAUCUACCCUUUAGUUGGGGACAACAUAUGGAAACGUAUGCUAAUACCGAAUAUGCUCUACGGAGUAAAGGUGCCCUCUCCUUGGAAGGUAUCGCUAAAGGAUGAGCCCGCGUUAGAUUAGCUAGUUGGUAAGGUAAAAGCUUACCAAGGCGACGAUCUAUAGCUGGUUUGAGAGGAUGAUCAGCCACACUGGGACUGAGACACGGCCCAGACUCCUACGGGAGGCAGCAGUGGGGAAUAUUGCACAAUGGAGGAAACUCUGAUGCAGCCAUGCCGCGUGUGUGAAGAAGGCCCGAGGGUUGUAAAGCACUUUCAAUUGUGAGGAAGAUAAUGUAGUUAAUACCUGCAUUGUUUGACGUUAACUUUAGAAGAAGCACCGGCUAACUCUGUGCCAGCAGCCGCGGUAAUACAGAGGGUGCAAGCGUUAUUCGGAAUUACUGGGCGUAAAGCGCGCGUAGGCGGACUGUUAAGUUGGAUGUGAAAGCCCUGGGCUCAACCUAGGAACUGCAUUCAAAACUGGCAAUCUAGAGUUUAAGAGAGGGAGGGGGAAUUCCAGGUGUAGCAGUGAAAUGCGUAGAUAUCUGGAGGAACAUCAGUGGCGAAGGCGCCUUCCUGGCUUAAAACUGACGCUGAGGUGCGAAAGCGUGGGUAGCGAACGGGAUUAGAUACCCCGGUAGUCCACGCCGUAAA
rnacentral:rRNA from 1 species